CGGCCGCGUCGACGACAACGUUUCGAAAGGAACGCUAAUACCGCAUACGUCCUACGGGAGAAAGCAGGGGACCUCCGGGCCUUGCGCUAUCAGAUGAGCCUAGGUCGGAUUAGCUAGUUGGUGAGGUAAUGGCUCACCAAGGCGACGAUCCGUAACUGGUCUGAGAGGAUGAUCAGUCACACUGGAACUGAGACACGGUCCAGACUCCUACGGGAGGCAGCAGUGGGGAAUAUUGGACAAUGGGCGAAAGCCUGAUCCAGCCAUGCCGCGUGUGUGAAGAAGGUCUUCGGAUUGUAAAGCACUUUAAGUUGGGAGGAAGGGCAGUAAGUUAAUACCUUGCUGUUUUGACGUUACC
rnacentral:rRNA from 1 species